AGGACACUUUUCAGCUGUCUGUCGAUUAAAGCAAAUGCAUGAGGUCUCAGAGGAGGCACAGCAGGACAGCAUCUUUCUGGGAGAAGUAAAGGAAAACAAUGCGGGCUGGCAUUCAGACAUUAAACUCAAUGUGGAGGUUGUGUCAUUUAAACUAGACACUGGGGCAGCAGUGACAGCUAUCCCGACUAGGCUGUAUAGCUAUAUCUGGUGUUAGAGUUGCGUAAAUUCGAAUCUGGUAUCAGGAUAAAUAUAACAAUGAGUCACCGAUUUUAUACUAUGUAUUUUUUAUUAGCUAAGUAAUAAAUGGCAAAUGCAACUUUCGUAUAUACGGGCUCUCUGUAAUACCACGCAGGGCAGAACAGAGAACUGACAGGAUGUAUGUAAACAGUAUUCUUUAUACUGUGAUAGGCCAACAGACGUGUUGAAACUAUGUCUAUCACAGUAGAGACUGGGCGUGGUUUAAACUUGCCCAGCCUAUUGCAGGCGCUCAGGCGGGUCCCCGCCUCUUGGCGCUUCUUGGAGUUCUCUGUCCUCGAUGUAUAGAUCCUUCCUGUUCUGGUAUCGCAGCCUAGUUAGAACAGUUGCUCAGUUCCUGCUAUUGCUAUAGUGUUGUUCAGUAUUUUUCCAUCUCAGUUAAACCUCGUGAUGACCACCCCUCCCUAUCACAACUUUGUAAGAUACAGCAAGUCACACCAUGUGCUCAAUAUUGUUACAUACAAACACAAGGACAAAGCAUCUGCUGGGCUGUUAUCUACAGAUUUGCAACAUCCAGGUCACACCAUGUUACUCAGUUCUUGUCACACAAACAGGCAAGUAGCAAGCAAUAGUUUAAUCUCAUAAUGAUGCUCCAGUGCACAAAUGCAGACACCUCACACAACCAACAUCAGAUGAUAUUUAAUCAUAUAUAUAUACUAAAGGCUAUAAUGUAAAACACAGGAUCCAACACUGGCCUUUUGCUCUCUACAAACAAAUAACUGUACGGGCCCAGUAAUAAGAUUUUACCAGUGGUAGGGCACUUAGGUGAUUAAACUGGAGAGUAAAGACUAAAGUGCCAUCCAGCCUGUCUUCAUCAUUGACUCUCGAGCCAGACCGUUGAUGGGGCUGCCAGCAUUUGAAGCAUUGCAACUCAUUGAGAGUGUGAGCGAAUUAGAGGACCCAGGUGAGGUUUUUAAAAAGAAAUUCCCAAAAGUAUUUUCUGGUCUAGGAAGGAUAGAAGGUGACUACAAAAUCCGCCUGAAAGAGGAUGCUGUCCCCUACGCCCUUACCACCCCCCGCCGGGUGCCUAUCCCUUUAUUGGCCAGAGUAAAGGAAGAGUUGGGGAGGAUGGAAGAAAUUGGGGCAGUGUCUAAAAUAGAGAGUCCCACAGACUGGUGUGCAGGGAUGGUAGUGGUCCCAAAAGCCAAUGGGGAAAUAAGGAUCUGUGUGGACAUGACUAAAUUGAAUGAGGCACUCUGCAGAGAGACACAUCUUACCAUCAGUGGAGCAGUCACUUGCUCAGUUGGAUGGCUCACAAGUCUUCACAAAGCUGGAUGCCCGCUCAGGUUUCUGGCAGAUACCGCUGUCAUCAGAGAGUAGGACACUCACAACAUUUAUAACACCGUUUGGCCGUUACUGUUUUAAUGUUUUUCCAUUUGGAAUCGCUUCCGGCCCUGAGCAUUUCCAAAGACGCAUGUCCCAGCUGUUGGAUGGGUUGAGUGGCUUCAUAGUCCACGUGGAAGGGACAGAGCAGAACAUGAUGUAAGGCUCACAGCAGUUCUGAACCAACUCCAGGAGACUGGCCUGACACUCAAUGAAAAAUUAACUUUUGCACAAUCAGAGGUCUUGUUCUUGGGACACAAAAUCAGUGCAGCUGGAAUAGAGCCGGACCCAGAGAAGAUCAGCGCCAUCACAGAUAUGCCCAGACCCCAGAAUGUGGCUGAAGUCAGGACCUUCUUAGGCAUGGCCACAUAUGUGGGUAAGUUCCUCCCACAGUUCUCAGAUACAACCAAACCUCUGAGAGACUUACUAGCCAAAGAGAAUGACUGGUUAUGGGGUCACAUGCAACAGGUAGCGUUUGACAAAAUCAAAGGAGAUCUGGCCUCACAGAGAGUGCUGGCCCAGUACCGUCCCCACGCUAAGACAAAAGUAUCAGCAGAUGCAUCAUCCUUUGGGCUAGGGGCGGACCUCACACAGAUGCAGGACAACAUGGAGUGGCGUCCAAUAGCUUACAUCUCCCGAAGCUUAUCCGACACAGAGCAAAGAUAUGGUCAAGUGGAGAAGGAGGCGUUGGCUAUCACAUGGGCUUGUGAAAGGCUCAGCCAAUACCUUAUUGGCCUGCAGUUUACAGCAGAGACUGACCAUAAACCGCUGUUGGCUCUGUUAGGGACAAAAGCACUGGACGACUUGCCUCCCAGAGUUCUGCGCUUCCGCCUCAGAUUACUGAGAUUACAAAAUUGUGUAUGUGCCAGGGAAGGCACUGAUCACAGCAGUUGAACUCUCCAGGGCCCCAAUUAAACAUCCAUUAUCAGAGGAGGAGCAAUGGCUAGAGGGUGAGGUACAGGUGUCCAUUAAUGCAAUAAGGGACAGUCUACCUGCAUCUCAGACCAAACUGCAGCAGAUUGCAGAGGAGCAACAACGAGACCAUAUCUGCCAACAGAUAGUGCAAAAAGGGAUAGCCCAGGCAGGAGGAACUGCCUCAGCUGCUGAAGCCCUAUUGGGUUCACCAAAGUGACUUCCACUGUAAUGGAGACCUUCUCAUGAAAGGACAACGGAUAGUUAUCCCAGAGACUCUACAACAAGAAAUGCUAGACGGAGUGCAUGAUGGACACAUGGAGAUAACCAAAUGCAGACUGUGGGCUCAACAGUCUGUGUGGUGGCUUGGUCUGAGUACUCAGAUUGCCAAGCUAGUGGCCCAGUGUGAGGUCUGUACAAAAUGUCAACCUUGUCAUCCGGAGCCAAUGAUGUCAACGGAGCUGCCAAAACGGCCAUGGCAAAAGGCAAGGGGUCGCUGAGGUCCUGGUUACAGAUAACGCUCCCCAGUUCUCUGCGAGCUCCUUUUCUGCUUUUGCCGCAGAAUAUGACUUCAUACAUGUGACCAGCAGCCCCUACCAUGCACAGAGUAAUGGUGAGGCAGAGAGAGCUGUGAAAACAGUCAAGGGACUGCUGAAAAAGAACAAGGAUCCAUACAGGGCUCUGUUAGCUUACAGAGUUACACCACUGCAUCAUGGGCCGUUGCCUGCUGAUCUCCUGAUGGGCAGGAGAUUGCCUGUCUCGCCGGCUCAGCUUAAACACAGAGGGCCUAACAGGAAGGCCUUCGCUGAGAGGGACAAACGGCUGAAACAAACGCAAACUGGAGACUUUAAUCGGAGACACCGUGCUAAGGAGAGGCCAGAGUUGACCGAAGGUCAACGCGUGUGGAUUACAAACUCAAAGACACCAGCAAUAGUGCUGAGGAAAGCGGAUGCCCCACGCUCCUAUGUGGUGGACACAGGCUCAGGAGAGGUAUGAAGGAACAAAACACACCUCAGAGCUCUUCCAGAUCUACCAGCCACACAGACGGAGGCCACAGAAAAUGCACGAAAAGAGGGUGAAGGAGAGAGAAUGAGGAGAGAGAAUUUCAGUUAUGCUUCAGUGGUUAUGCAUGUUGAGUUCUUGUUCAUGGGAGAGGGGAAGAUGUAGUAGGAUGACCCUUGGGGGUAUCCGUACCUAUGCAGGACAUGCGAGGGUUAGGUUAAUAAACAGGCUGGAGCUAGAACCUGGUUGUCGCGCGUCCUUAUUUUAGAUCAUACUACAGCUCUAUUGUGAAUGUAGUAUAGGCUACCCAUAUUCAGUCUGGCUGAUACGCGAUCCACAUGACUACACAGCAAGCAUAGACAGGCCUACAUGAGUAAUGCCUCAAUCACAGCGACAGUGCUUUGCCAUUUGGUACACUAGAAGUAUGUUUAUUUCUAAUGGAAUGCUGUGUUUGCCUUGCAACGUUGUAUUGGAGAGGCGGUUUCAGUGCGUUCUGUGUGAUGCAUUGUGACGACCCUCCCACUCUGUCUGCCAUAUUCUGUCUUUGUUCUUGAUGCCGGUGGGGGGAGUUGGGGGGUUCGUCAGCUACAUGGGAAACACCUGGGCCCGGUGUGUCCCAGGAUAAAUACACCACUUCCCCAUUCAUGGAAGAAACUCUCUCCUUUAUAGAUUUUGUUGUGUUUCUUGGUGUUUUUUUGGUUGUUUGCUUUAGCAUCUUUCAACACCCUGCAUUAUCACAUUCAUGCCUGCAAAACACUCACUUACACUACUGAUUACUGAUUACACACACCAUUGUAUAUUAUACUUAGUUACUCAUUUAAUAAAUAUAUAUUUUGUUACUCCUUA